rnacentral:rRNA from 1 species
UCCGUAGGCGGGCAAUUAAGUCAGAGGUGAAAUCCCACAGCUCAACUGUGGAACUGCCUUUGAUACUGGUUGUCUUGAGUUACAGUGAAGUAGAUAGAAUAUGUAGUGUAGCGGUGAAAUGCAUAGAUAUUACAUAGAAUACCGAUUGCGAAGGCAGUCUACUAACUGUAUACUGACGCUAAUGGACGAAAGCAUGGGGAGCGAACAGGAUUAGAUACCCUGGUAGUC